UACAGAGGGUGCAAGCGUUAAUCGGAAUUACUGGCGUAAAGCGCGCGUAGGUGGUUUGUUAAGUUGGAUGUGAAAUCCCCGGGCUCAACCUGGGAACUGCAUUCAAAACUGACAAGCUAGAGUAUGGUAGAGGGUGGUGGAAUUUCCCUGUGUAGCGGUGAAAUGCGUAGAUAUAGGAAGGAACACCAGUGGCGAAGGCGACCACCUGGGACUGAUACUGACACUGAGGUGCGAAAGCGUGGGGAGCAAACAGG
rnacentral:rRNA from 1 species